UUUACUUGACCCUCUUACUAAUAGUGAUUAUUUCAAUUUACUUAUAAAAUUUAUGAAAUCAAGAAAAAUUUAUCAUAUUUUCUCAAUAUUAUCCUUAUCAUGAAAUGACUACAUAAAGUAUCAGUAGUCAAAUUUAUAUUUUUAAAACAUAAUUAAUAAUACCAAUUUAGUAAAAUAAAUUCUUAGUAAAUACUCCCUUCGUCCCAAAUUUUCUAAUUUGAUUUUCAAAUUUACUUGUCCUUUUCAUUAAUCAAGAAGAGACAAUUUUUUUUCAUGUUUUACCCUUUGCAUUAAUUAUUUUUUCUUCAAAUUAAAAUGUAAACAUCAUUUAAUAGGGGCAAUAUUGUAAACUAGCCAUGUUAUUAAUUAUUUUUCUUAAUAAUGUGUCAUUUCAAUUUGGGACGGAUAAUUUGAGACAGAAGGAGUAUUUUCUCAGGGGUUAUGUUAAGUCAACAUAAUUCAAGUAAAAUAAAUUGGAGGGAAUAAUACUUUGUGUGCUCAUUUAAUGCUAAAGUAAUAUUGAAAGAAAAUAAUAAUUAUUUUUUUCAUUUUAUAAAUUAAAAAAAUAAAUUAAAUAAUUAUUUUUAAUUAAAAAUCAAGUAAAAUAAAAUAAAGGAGAUAUUUACUCGUUUACUACCUUUAGAACAUCUUAGUAAAAAUUUCAAAAAUAUUUAGGGUCCGUUUGACAAUGAAAAUUUUUCCCUUUUUUUCGAAAAUUUUUUUUGGAGUUGGAAAUUGUGGUGUUUGGCCAUGAAAAUUCGGAAAAUAAUUUUGAAAUUUUUUUUUGAAAAGAGAAAACAGGUUUUUGGUGUUUUCACAAUUUUCCAACUCCAAUUUCAACUUUUAUUAUUAUUACAUAUAACCCCAAUCUUUUAGAUUUUUAUAUAAAACUCUCCUUAUAAUUAUAACUACCUACCAACAAACAAAUAAAAAUACUUUCUCAUUCAUUUGCACUUUAUUCUAUUCUUAUUCAUUUGAAGUGUACAUACUAAUGAUUAUGUAUAUUAUGGGUAAGUGGUUUGUCUUCAUAAUUUGUAAAUUACUUUUUUUUUUAAACUUAAAGAUGACUACUCAUUUAUACUAAUCUCCUAUUUUUUUUUUAUAGAAACAUACUAAUCUCUCAUUUUUUUUUUAUAGAAACAUUCAUUGCUUACACUCGUUCACAUUUCUGGCCAAUGUAUGUCUGUUUUACCCAGAAAAUGAUUUACUAUACCUAAACUACUUCUUAUUAAUUUUAUGUAAAAAUGGUCAGAUGACAAAAGUAUUAUUAAUAAUUAAUGGACUACAAACUCAUCUCUUCCAUUUAUGUGUAUAUUUUAUAGGUUGAUUUGCUACCUCAAAUCUUAAUUAAUCAGUUUACUCAAUCUUCUUCUGUAGCUAUUAAUAGCUGAGAUACUUUAAAAGCAAAUCAAUUUAAAUUGCAUGAGUUGACACUCUUUGUAAUUUUCUCACUUCGCUGAAAGAGUUUAGAAUAGUUAUGCUGCUGUUUGCUGCAUGCCUUUUGCAUAAUUUGUAAAAGUUAGGUGAUUUUGAUAGUUUGUAAAAGUUGGGGCAUAAAAUCAUAUUUUAAAAUGUUUUUUCAAAAGUCAAAAAAAAGUUUUAAAAAAGAUAUGUCCAAACACAACUCCAACUCUAAUUUCAACUCCAACUCUAAAAAUUUUUAGUUUUUAUGGCCAAACGGCUACUUAAUAGUCGUUUGAUCAUGAGAAUUAUUUACCUUUUUUUGAAAAACUAUUUUACUUUAGUGAAAAAAGUGAAAAUAAUAUGUGUUUGACCAUUAGAAUUCAAAUACAAUUUAAAAUUAUAUUUAAAAAAGUGAAAACAAGAAAACUUAUUUUCACCUUUUUUACUCCUAAUUCUCUAAUGAAAUUUCAAAAUCAACUUAAAUUUAUAUUGAUUUCAACUCUAACUCCAACUUUAAUUUAAAAAAUUAUGAUUUUCAUAAUCAAACACACCUUUUUAAGUUGUUGUAUUGAGUCCAAUUUAAUAGGAAAGGGUACGAUAAUAUAAGAUUUUUAGGCAAGGUUGAUACUCCCACCUAAUCAAUCACAAGCCUUUUACCUAUCCCCAAAUUACAACCCACCCGCCCCCACACAAAAUCCCAUCAUCUCGCCACGCUCCCUCAUCUCAUCUUCCCUCUCGUUUCCCCUUUUUCCCCCAUUUGCUCACCUCAUUUCCCACUCUCUCUCUCUAAACUCCUUUUCUUCCUAACCUCCUUGUCCCCUUUCCCACGAGAUUCUCCAUCUAAAAUAGCAAAAGAAUUCUAGGGUUUUCUUUAUAUUUCUGCAUACAUAAACCCCAGCUAAAAAUAUUUAUACCUGUUUUUCUACUUAUUUUACAAAAAAACCAACCGUGUUUUGCUUAUUAUAAGCUUAAUUAAUAAUCUUUGUCUGGUUUUGAUUUCUGGGCGGAGUUUUUGAGGUGUUUUUUAUUUAUUUUUUAUUUCUUUCUCUUCUUCUUCUCAUUUUUUGCGAUGCAAUACGAUGAUCUUUAUCACCGUCUGAUGUGAUGACUAUAUUUAUUAGUCAAUGGCUUUAUCGCUACCUUUCUUCUUCUCCUCACUUCAUUUGACUCUGGUUUUCUUCGUGUUUUUAGUAAACCCUUUAGCGAUUUCUGGUUAUUCAGACGACGAUAUUGAUUCUGAGUUUAUUCUUUUCCAUCAAGACUAUACACCGCCGGCGCCACCACCUCCGCCGCCACACCCGCCGUCGGUAUCAUGUGAAGAUGAUCUCGGCGGAGUUGGCUCGUUGGAUACAACUUGUAAGAUUGUAUCCAAUUUGAAUAUCACUAAGAGUGUCUAUAUUGAAGGGAAGGGUAAUUUUUAUGUCCUUCCUAAUGUUACGUUAAAUUGUACUUUCUGGGGUUGUGAAAUUGGGAUUAAUGUUACGGGGAACUUUACUUUGGGUGAGAAUUCCGUGAUACUAGCUGGAACGUUCCAGCUUGUGGCGGAUAACGCUACCUUUAGUAAUAGUUCUGCUGUGAAUACAACUGGUUUGGCUGGCUCAGCGCCUGCUCAGACAAGUGGUACGCCUCAAGGAGUGGAUGGUGCAGGUGGAGGUUAUGGUGGAAGAGGGGCUUGUUGUUUGACGGAUGGAAAGAAGAUGCAGGAGGAUGUUUGGGGUGGAGAUGCUUAUGGAUGGUCCACAUUGCAAUUACCGUGGAGUUAUGGGAGUAAAGGUGGGACAACUAGUAAGACUGUGGAUUAUGGUGGGGGUGGAGGUGGAAGAGUAAUGCUGUUGGUGGAGAAGUUUCUAGAAGUGAAUGGCAGUGUGUUGGCUGAUGGAGGUGAUGGAGGCGUCAAAGGUGGCGGUGGCUCUGGUGGUAGCAUCUACAUCAGAGCUUAUAAGAUGUAAUAUUUCUUUUGCUUUAUUUUCCUAUUGUUACUAUAUAUUCAGAAUUUCAAUUUUCACCAUCUCUCAGUGACCUGGAUUUCCUCCAUAUUAUUAAUUUGUAAUGUUAUUAGUCUAGUGUUACUAGAAAUGCAGAUAAUCUUCCAUAUUGCUAUCCUUGUAAUCACAUAAUUACUAGUGUUCAGUAGGUUCAUAUGUUUGUGUUUGAAAUGUGUUUCUGUUCUAUAGGAUAAUGAUUCGUUAGUGUGUGAGUGGAUAGAAGACAAUAGAGUUGUAUUAGGGGGAAUACAUGGAACUCUGCACCUGCGGGACAAACAAAAGGAGUUUGUCACUUGUAAAGGUGCUCCAGCAUGUAGUUAGCAUGACAUGCAAUGAACCUUUGGUUUGCACUGGAUAUUUUGUGAACGAUUAUGUCUUGUUUAAAUGAAAAUCUUCAGCGAAUGCAUGGUAACAUAUCACUGGGAAAUGUGCUUAUACCAAAUUUUCUCAUGCAAGUAUGAGACUGACUUGUUCGCAUGGUUGUUUCGGCAUCAUUAAAAUGUUAGCUAGAUACAUGUAAUUAAGCUUGAAGAACCAUGCUUGAAUGGAUCAAAAUAAUAGCUUGUUUGGGAUUGUUUUUUCCUCAAAAAAGUGUUUUUUUAAAGAAAAAAGCACUUCUUUGGAAAAAAAAUGGUGUUUGGUAAACUUGCAAAAGUGCUUUUAAAGAUAAGCAGAAGCAGUUUUUCUAAUUCUAGGAAGAAACCAAAAAAUUCUGCUUUUCAAAAAAAAACAGAAGAAGCUGAAAAUUGGUUUUCAUGGCAAAAAUAUCCCUAUCAACUACACACAUAUAUAUCCCUUAUUAAUUAAUUUGCAUAUCUUAACAAUUUGGUUUUAAAAUUUUAUACUUCACAUUUACAUUAUAAUUCUUUAUUUCAUUCUAUGAUUUUUAAAUAUUAUUUUACUUUUUACUCAUUUUGUUUAAACAAAAUGGAAAAUAUCAUUGAUGAUGAUGAUCGAAAAAUAUAUAACUAUUUAAUUUUUUUAUUAUUAUUGAUAAUAAAUGACAGAUGAAUCACGUUGCAAGAUCAAUUGGUAUUCUAGCAGCACUUGUAAUUUUUUUCUCGAGUAUUUAAUUCUAAAUAAAUAACUCAUGAAAAGUGACAUAUUUGUUACAUUUGGUGAUUUUUCUCAUAUGUAGUGAUUUAAUUUUUGAAAUAUAUGUAUAUUUUGUUAUGUUUUUAAGUAAUAUUUAAAUUAUUUAAGUAAUAUAUCAUUAUUUAAUUUUCUUAUAAUGUAUCUAUGUAUAUAAAUAUUAAUUGAAAAUUUUAAAGCACGUACUUUUUAAUUAUAUAAAAAUAAAAUUUUAGUAAAAAUAUUAUAAUAAAUAUUUAAAAUAAAUUUUCUCUAUAAAAUGAUGUUAGUAGUAAAAGUCUAUUGAUAUAUGUCCUUUUUGGUCAUUUGUCUGUCAAAAGCAUUUUUUUCAAAAGAUUAUCCAAACACAAUAUGUUUAUCAAAAGCACUUUAGAAAUGAAUUUACCCAACGCAAAGUGCUUUUUUCAAAAGCACUUUUCAGAAAAGCUAUUUUUAUAGAAGUGCUUCUCAAAUAAGCAGUUUUCUAACCGCAAUCCCAAACGGGCUCUAAGUUGGUUUAGGAGGAUGGAGUUGGCUGAACUUGCUGAGAUAGCAUCAGGAACAAGGAGACCCAGUAAGUAGAAGAUGAUAGAAUACAUGAGGUGCGAAAAUGAAAGCAGGAGUAGAUCAACCUUCAUUACUGCACUAGGGUUGGAGGCGUGCUUCUGGGGAACUUCCAUGGUAGCCUAUGGAGAUAGUAGUUUUAAUCUAAUAUCCUAUAUAGAUAGAAGCAAGCAUGAGAAGAAAGGAUACGACACAUUUGUGGCGCGCCAUGCUGCGAACAACAUGUACAUACUCUUCAUCAAGACAUAGGCUACUCAUAAAGUUUGGAUAAAACAGACGUGUGCAUGUUGAAACAAGGGAGAUGAAAGUUUGAUUGUAUUAAUAGUUGUGAAGUCAUAGGUAAUUGAAGGAUCCCUUGCUGUCUAUGCAUGCUAGUAAUUUGUCGAUACAUCUCUUGACUAGUUUUGUAUUCAAAUAUUUACACCAAAUAAACCACAGAUUCAGAUAUUUUAUAUUGAUCUUAUGAGAGAGGAGAAAUAUUGAUUACUACAUAUUUUUUGGGUGCAAGGUCUACAUCUUUAUUUGGUAACAGGUAAAAGCUUGGAGCCUGUCCUGGGAGUACAAGCUCUACCCCACUACAGGUCUUAAAUAUUAGACGCAUAUCAUGUUCGUCCCGAUGUGGGACAAGUUCCUACUAAAGACUUAAUUCUUAAUGAUCCUUAGGACAUGACUCUUCUAUUACUUUAAGUCUACAUGCUAACACUAAUUCAUUAACAUUCUAACACGCCCUUUCACACUUAAAAGUAGGGAGUGAAUGUGAGUAUGUCUUUUUAAGUGGGGAGCACCCCAAGAAACUAAGAGAUCUAACCAAUAAAAAAAACUUAUGUACCAUGAACCACUAGUGAUAACCUAGUAGUAGCAAAAAACUUAUGUACCAUGAACCCCGCUGAUGAUAACCUAGCAGUAGCAUUGGCAUAUGACCUUCUUGUUGAAAACAACUACUUCUUGCCUUCAUACCAAAAGGACAUGCUUUUUAUGCCAGGUAUAUGGAUUGAAUCGUGAAGUUGACAUGCUUUUUAUGCCAGGUAUAUGGAUUGAAUCAUGAAGUUCAUGUCUUGGUUUAGACAAUAAAUACAGUAUUAACCUACACUUUGCUAACACCCCCUCCCUCAAUAACCCUCCCACUGGCAUGAGGAAAUAAGGAUUUUGUUAAAUUAUUCUUCUAGAAUACUUCUGCUGCAUCAGUGUGGUGGGUGGUAUGAAGGAAAAACAACAACAACAGACCCAAUGUAUUCCCACAGUUUGGGGUUUGGGGAGGGUAAAAUGUACACAGUCCAUACCGCUACCUCCGAGGAAAUAGAGAGGCUGUUUCCGGUAGACCCCCAGCUCAAGAUAUAGAACAAUACACCAAGGUAGCAUAACAAAAAUCAAAGGUAAGAAAUAGUAGCACUAGAUAUCCGAGAAAAGGAAAUAAGAGAAAAACGAACAAACAAAAUAAGAAAUAAGGAAAAUGAAUACCCAUGUAGUAGUAACACACACCGACCUAAGACACCUACCACACCCAACUCUCCUAACACCUAACCAUAACCGACCCACUCGCACUAGCCUUCUACCCUAAUCCGUGACCUCCAUACCUUCCUGUCUAGGGUCACGUCCUCAGUAAGCUGAAACAGCUCCAUGUCGUGCCUAAUCACCUCCCUCCAGUAUUUCUUUGGCCUACCUCUACUCUUCCUGAAGCCAUCCAAAGCUAACCUUUCGUACCUCCGAACUGGGGCAUCCGUGCCCCUCCUCAUCUCAUGUCCAAACCAUCUCAACCUUUCUUCUCGCAUCUUAUCCUCCACCGAAGCCACUCCCACCUUCUCCUGGAUAGUCUCAUUCCGAACUUUAUCCCCUCUAGUCAGGCCACACAUCCAACGUAACAUUCUCAUUUCCGCCACCUUCAAUCUUUGAAUAUGUGAGUUCCUGACUGGCCAACACUCCGCUCCAUACAACAUGAUCGGACGGAUUGCCACUCUGUAGAAUUUGCCUUUAAGCUUAAGGGGCACCUUCUUAUCACACAACACUCCCGAGGUGAGCCUCUAUUUCAUCCAGCCUACUCCAAUACGUUUAGAGACAUCCUCACCAAUCUCGCCAUUCCCCUAAUCACAGACCCAAGAUACUUGAAACUAUCCUUCUUAUAAACAUCUUGGGAAUCCAACCUCACCACCACACCGUCCUCCAUACUCGAGUCACUAAACUUGCAUUCCAAAUACUCUGUCUUGGACCUACUCAACCUGGACCCCUUAGAUUCAAGGGUUUGCCUCCACACCUCCAAUUUCUCAUUCACACUCCUCCGCGUCUCGUCAAUCAGCACUACAUCAUCUGCAAAUAACAUACACAACACCUCACCUUGAAUCCUCCGCGUCAGCACAUCCAACAUCAACGCAAAAAGGAACGGGCUAAGAGUCGACCCCUGACGCAAGCCAGACUCGACUGGAAAAUGCCCUGAGUCUCCUCCCACCGUCCGCACCCGAGUCGUACCUCCCUCGUACAUGUCCUUAAUAGCUCUGAUAUAUGCCACCGGAACUCCUCUUGCCUCUAAGCAACUCCAAAGCACCUCCCUAGGUACUCUGUCAUACGCCUUCUCCAAUCGAUGAACACCAUGUGCAAAUGUAUCUAUUGUCUAGAUUUUGGUGUAACGUUUAAGUGGAGCAAAAUGAGAUGUGGGUGUGUAUGUAUACAUCUUGAUAGUUUCUUGGUUACUUAUAUGCGCACUAAAGAAGUUGAAUUUUAUUUUGUAGUGCACAUGCCAAUACACCACACUUGUGCCCGCACAACUUUUAAUAAAUGUGCGACAUGAUAAAAACAGGUCUUAGUAUAUUCGUGAAGUUUUUUAAUUUUAUAAGAAUGGUACAAAGUUCACUUUUAAAAAAGAAAUUAGACAAAAGUUCUCGUUAGACAAAGAAACAAAGAAUGGAAGAAACAUGUAGCAUAGGUACUUGAUGUCAUGGAUCAAAGAAAGGUAGUGGUUUCCACUAAGGGAGGUAUGUUGAAGGGUUUAAAGGAUGUGAAAAUUCAAAUUAAAGGAUUGAUACAUGGAAUGCUGAUAAUCACAUGCCUGUGAAAAGUGACUGAAGCUUAUAUGUGCUGCUGAGAGCUGGCUCUGUGAAUAGCAGAAUGUUUUGUGGUGUAAUAUUUCAUUAAAAAGUGGGAUUUCUUUCCUUGUAAUGUCUUUUGUUGAACCGAGUAGCAUCCUGAUUCUCUGAUUUGCUUUAUGCUGUUCUGCUUCUUCUUUGUAAAGGCGAUAGAUACACACGGGGCGGUCUUUCAUAUCCUCCUCCUCAUUUUGUUCACCCUAUAGCUUGCCAAUAUCACUCCAAUUGUUGUAGGGAGCACCCAUGGUAGGUAGAGAAUGGCCAGGGUCAGUAAUUUUGUAGUGGAACUUCUUAUAGAAAAAAUAACUUUGUAGCAAAACUGCAAUGCAAAUGAGGUGAUCCUCAUUUUCUCUAUGGUUCUUGCACUUGCAAAACAGUGUAUCAGUGAUGCAUUUUCUUCUUCUUAAUAAAUUGUGAAGUGCCUAACGUAGUGCACCAUGGAUAUAGCGUUCUUCAAAAUGAAGAAUCUAAAAGGUACAUGAAAGAAGCAAGGAAACAAUUUAUGGCUAGAAAACAUAAGCACACACUCUUUAGAAAUUCUUCUUUCAUUAGAGACUUGAAUUUCGACCUUUUAUUAGUACUAAGGAGAUAAAAUUUUAGACCUUUUAUUAGUACCAAGGAGAUAAAAUUUUACUAGUCUAAAAGCUUGCCUACCUGGAUGACAGAUAAAAUUGGCCAGUUUUAACCUUAAGCAUCACUAAGCGACUACAACUCUACUCGAGGGGAUCAAUGAUUUUCUUCUUAAAGUAUUUUCUCCCACCUGAUACGUACUAGUAUGUGUAUAAAAAUGCUAAACUCUUCUAAAUCAGUGGUAUCUCCUUAUUUUUUGGAUCAAACCAAAUUUUUAGCCCGAACGUUUUACAUUUGUAAUCAAGAUAUAUUUCUCAUGCAUAAAGUAUACCUAAUUUGGUGCUUUCUAUGUGGUAUUCUCAUAUAUUGGACGGCGCUGGAACACAGUGACUUUUGUUGACAUUUUAUAACAAUUGCCUAGCCCAGUUAUUGGUAUGUUUUAAGUUGCAAAAAAGAGUCAAAUGCCUAUGCUUUCACUGCCAUUUAAACCUCUUUCUGACCAAAUGCAGGACUGGAGUCGGUAGAAUUAGCGCUUGUGGUGGUGAUGGUUUAUCUGGUGGAGGUGGUGGAAGAGUUUCUGUGGAUAUUUUUAGCAGACACGACGAGCCAGAAAUCUUUGCAUAUGGUAAGGCUAAGUUUGUCUUGUAUGUUCAAGAAUAUUCUACUUCACCCAUCUUUUAUAUGAAUAUCUUUCAAAUAGUUGAGCAAGAGAGCCAAGCUAUAGAGUAUUGACCUUCUCAUGCUUUUAGAUUUUAUACUUCACAUGGUCUUUAAACAGUUAGUUAUUUCUACAUAGCAACUAUUCUCCUAGCAGGUCCAUGCCUGGAUGAAAGAUUUACUUUAGAAACACUUGUGGUAAAUAAACCUCAUCAUGUGGGCUUCAGUAUGUAGUUAAUUGUGGCCUUUGGAUAGGUAAAAUGCUUGAUUUUUCUAUAUCAUUUUGUUCAGCUGGAAUUAAAGCCAAUGCAACCUCUGUUUUCUGCCUGCAGGAGGAAGCAGUCGUGGUUGUGCAGAAAAUGCUGGCGCAGCAGGAACUUUCUAUGAUAAUGUUCCUCGUAGUCUAACUGUCAACAAUCAUAAUAGAUCAACUUCUACAGACACACUUCUGUUGGAUCUUCCCCAGCCACUUCUGACAAAUGUUUACAUUCGCAAUUACGCCAGGGCUGCUGUCCCCUUGCUGUGGAGUCGCGUUCAGGUUGAGGGUUCUUUCUUUUCCGUUUUCAGUUCUUUCAUGAGAGUAACUAUGUGUACCUCAAUUAAUUGAACUUAUUUGACACUGAAUCUAUUGAAGUGAAGCAUCAUAGAGAGAGUAAAUUUUCCCUAAGCCAUGGUAAAAUUUUUUGUUGUUUCAUUAUCAAAAAAGAAGUUUGCUGUUUAUACUUUAGAUAUAUUGUUCCGUCAUACUCUUUUAUUCUAUAUUAUGCAAACUAAACUCNNNNNNNNNNNNNNUUUCCCUCGGGAUAUUUCAUAUGUUUCUCUAUGAUUGCUGCAUCUAUUUGCACUUAAUGCUUAAUUUUAUUUGUACUGAUGCUUUACCAAUACUUAUAAGUAGUAUAUAUAACCAGAUGCAUGGUCAGACAGAUGUCAAAAUUGUGUUAUGUUCCAAAUUAUGAAACUCAUGGUAUUUCUAGAUUAUGUGUUCACAGGAUAUCCAUUGAAGCUGAAAGGGCUAUGUUCUGCUUGACAUCUAACUUCUUUUCAUCUUAAAAGAACUUGAUUUCCUUACAUGUGAAAGGAAUAUGUAGAAGAUGCAAAGAAAAGAUCCCAAGAGGAAUGGGAGUCCAAGCGAUUUCAGAGAAAAAAUUGAUACCAAAGACAGUUCUUUUUGUUUUGCCAGUAAUACAGACUUCUUCAUUAAAAAUAUCUUUACAACACCCCUUUUAAUUGAAGAAUCUAAUUAAUUCAUAAGCCUAUAUAAUCCGUUUACUUUUCCCCCUUGAAAAGCUAAACAAGUGAAGGGGUUUGUUUUCACCUUGAGGUGACCUCAAGAAGGCCUUAGGACACUUUGGAUAUAGCAUCAUAGUGGUUCUCCAGCUUCCUUCUGUUUGCACCUCUGCCGUUGUGUUUUUUUUCCCUGUUAUGAUUAUUUUAUCUCUCAUAUAGGUCCAAGGUCAAAUUAGCCUUUUGUGUCAUGGAACACUGAGCUUUGGGUUGGCACGCUACGCGAUGUCAGAGUUUGAGUUAUUGGCAGAAGAGCUUUUGAUGAGUGAUUCUGUGAUUAAGGUAAGUGGUUGAAUCUCCUUGUAAGUACAGAUGUUGUUUCGUUAUCAUUGUAAUGCCCCCAAGCUAUUUUCUUUAGUUAUAUGGAAGUGUUCACGGAGUGUUCCAAUUGGAAACUCCUUUUCACAUCUAUUUUUCGUCUACAAGUGUCUUGAUAAACUCUCACUAUGGUGAAUUCAGAUUUAUAUGGUCCAAUGAAAGCAAGACUGCGGGUGGUGCAAAUUUACUUUGUUAAUUUCAUUGAUGAUUGCUCAAGAAUCAUUUUAUACUGCUCUUUGGAGUGUCAAAACUUUUGAUGCAUAUACUUGUAUUAACCACUGGAAACAUCAACACAUAAUACAACUACAUAUUGCAGCAUGCAUGUUUUUCUGAAGAUUGUGCAACCUUCAAUGUUUUCCUAAAGCUAUACAUGAAUGUUGAGCUAACAUCUUAGCUAACAAUCAGUUUUCCACUUCUCACUGUUCUGUUGUAAUAUACCCUAACAACAGCUUAACUAACCAUUAACCAUAAAGAUCUCCUUAGAGUCUUGCAUUUUCUGGUACUGUGAUAUAAAAGCAUAAAAAUAAUAUAAAUUAAAGAAGAAAGGCUCCAUGGGUAACCACAGCUGAAUAGACUGAAGCAGGCUUCUUUAGCUUUAGUACCAGCUUUUCACACUGCUAUAUCUUUGCUUCUUGUACUUAAAAGUGACUCUCCUUUUACUAUAGUUGCCAAAAGCUGUCAAGUAUCACAACAACUCACUGAAUGUAAGUUGAAAAAUCAUCCUUGGUCAGUUAUCUUGAGAAUCUUCUAUAUCUAGCAUUACAUGAUCUAGAGUUAUAUAUCUGUACAUCAAAACGAUUUAGUAUUCUAGCUUAGAUGUUGGCUAUAAUAUAUCUAUACAUCAAAACGAUUUAGGAUUCUAGCUUAGAUUAGAUGUUGGCUAUAAUUGUUUUGGUUACUGGAAAAAAAUGGUUACAAUAAUAGUGAAGAUGAAUCUUAAUUUUGUGCAAUGUGCAGCACCAGUUUUAAAACUGCGCUCCAACACCUCGUCUUUAUUGCAAAAAUGAUUUGCAUGUGUUGGAGAAAAAGUAGAGUUUAUAUUUCUCUUUCCUUGAUUAUUUUGGGUUCAUAAGCAGCCAAAAGAUUUGGGAUCUGUUGUGUAUAAUGUUUCUACUAGAAUAUGAGUAAAAAUAAGAAUAGUAUAUAGAAAUCCUACUUGGAAAAGGAUUAUAAUAUAGUGUUUAUAAAUAGGAUCUCGAUGUAAUUGUGUAAACACACAAUUCAAUAAUAUUUUUCUCCAUUAAUUCUCACAGGGUAUAUUAGAGUGUUAGUGAGAAAUUUUAGAAAAGAAAACCCAGUCACUGUGCGUCAAUUCCGGUGACUGAUUUGUGUCCUUUUUUAUUUUGUGGGUUGUGUGAAAAUUACACCACCACCAAGAGGAUCGGGAAGCUCAACAGACAAAAAACCCGACGAAAAUCGCCGGGAUAAUACCAGCCACACGCCGACACGUGCCUGCUGGAAUUCUAAAAUUCCAGCGAGAUCUAGUCACGCGCCGAUGCGUGAACCCAUUUCCAAUCGAAUUUUUGAGUAGUUCUUUUUUUGUUGGGGUCGCUGAACCAUUUCCACUCUGACCAGUUACUAUUUUUUCAGAUUCCGGCAAUAUUUGAAGAUUCCAACCGCCGGAAUCCUAAUAUCGGCGACCUCAAUUUUUUUUUUCUUUUCUGCACAUCCAGAUCCUGUUUCUUGGUGUUUUCAUAUUAAAAUUUCCAAGAUGUCUUUUGGGUAUGAUGUUUUUGGUCCCAAAACUUCUAGAAUCGAAAGUUCAAGUCCUAUGAUCACUUCCGAACCAUUAAUGGGAAGUUCAAAUUAUUUAGCCUGGGCUUCCUCGGUUGAGUUGUGGUGCAAAGGUCAAGGUGUCCUAGAUCACUUAACGAACAAGACUAGUGUGGUAGAUGAAAAGGCAAAAUCUAGCGCGGAAUAUGCGAAAGCUAAAGAACAAUGGGAGAAAGUUGACGCUCAAUUAUGUAGUCUCUUAUGGCGACCUAUUGAUUCCAAGUUGAUGCCCUUGUUUCGUCCAUUCUAGAAGUGUUAUUUAGUUUGGGAAAAGGCUCGUGCUUUAUACACUAAUGACAUAUCUCGUUUUUAUGAUGUGAUAUCUCGAAUCACCAAUGUGAAGAAACAAGAAUCCGAUAUGUCUACUUACUUGGGACAAGUACAAGCAGUCAUCGAAGAAUUUGAUGCAUUGAUGCCCGUCACUGUGGAUGUGGAAAAACAAAAAGAGCAUAGACAAAUGUUGUUUUUAGUUCUUACACUUGCUGGACUUUCUACUGAUCAUGAUGUUGUACGUGAUCAGAUUUUAGCUAGUCCUACGAUUCCUACAAUUGAUGAGUUAUUCUCUCGUCUGCUUCGUCUUGCCGCGCCUCCCAAUCACAAAGUGAUUUCAUCACCCGCUGUUGACUUCUAUUCUUGCAUCUCAAAUCAUAGAAAAACAAACAUAUCAGCCUGUGGAAAAUCGGCGAGGAUGAGGUCGUUUCGAAAAAUCUCGAUCGAAAUGUAGUUAUUGUCAUAAAGUUGGACACACUCAGGAUAUAUGUCGUAGUUUGCAUGAUCCACCACCCAGUUAUGAUUAAAGGAAUAUAAUGAGUUCCUUCAGAAUCGAGCAAGUAAGCAGAUAUCUCCACAGCCUAAUCAACCAUCCAAUAGUGCACAUAAUGCCCAAACAGAAUAUGAUGAGUUCCUUCAAGUAUCAAGUAAGUAAGCAGACAUCUCCACGAGUAGCCUCGGUUGCCCAGCCUGAUGCUUCUGUUGCUGGUAAUCCUUUUGCUUGUAUUUCACAGUCUAGUACUCUUGGAUCAUGGGUUGUGGACUCAGGUGCUUCUGAUCAUAUUUCUGGUAACAAACCACUUUUGUCUGAUAUUGUUUAUUCACAAUCACUUUCUACUAUUACUUUAGCCAAUGAGAUCCGAACACAACCAAAAGGAGUUGGACAAGCCAAACCCCUAUCUUCUGUAACUCUAGACUCUGUUCUUUAUGUCCCUGGUUGUCUUUUUAAUCUUGCAUCUCUUAGUCGUCGUUUGACACGUGCCCUUCAUUGUAGCAUAACUUUUUUUGAUCACUCUUUUCUAAUGCAGGACCGCAUUACGGGACAGACAGUCGGUUGGUGCAGGACAUGAAUCACAAGGCCUUUACCAUCUUACCUCUUCAAAUCCUUUCACAACAUGCUUCGUCACAGACCCUCCAGACUUAAUUCAUAAACAUUUGGGACAUCUGAGUCUAUCUAAGCUACAAAUGAUGGUUCUUGAUUUGUCUAGUUUAUCCACAUUAGAUUGUGAGUCAUGUCAACUUGGGAAACACACCCGUGCUACUUUCUUCAGCGUCUAUUUUCUCAUUAGUUCAUUCUGAUGUUUGGGUACUCGUAGAGUCAGUUCACCUAUAGGUUUUCGUUAUUUUGUUAGUUUCAUUGAUGAUUUUGCAAGAUAUACUUGGAUUUUCUUAAUGAAAGAUCGUUCUGAGAUAUUUUCUUUAAUCAAAACUUUUUCUACUGAAAUACAAACUCAAUUUGGUGUUUCUAUUCGUACUUUUCGUUGUGAUAAUGCCUUAGAAUACUUAUCCUCUCAGUUUCAGGAGUUUAUGACUCAUCAAGGAGUUGUUCACCAUACAUCUUGUUCGUACACCCCUCAGCAAAAUGGUAUAGCAAAAAGAAAAAAUAGGCAUUUUCUUAAGACUGCUCUCUCUUUUCUCAUUGAAUUUCAUGUUCCGUUGCAUUUUUGGGGCGAUGUAGUCCUCACAUCUUGUUAUCUAAUUAAUAGAAUGCUAUCAUCUUCCAUUCAGAAUAAGGUUCCCUAUUCUAUAUUGUUUUCACAAUCUCUAUUUUAUCCCCCCCUCGUGUCUUUGGGAGCACAUGCUUUGUUCAUAACUUAGCCCCUGGAAAAGAUAAAUUAACCCUCGUGCUCUUAAGUGUGUUUUCCUCUCGAGUUCAAAAAGGGUAUCGUUGUUAUUCACCGAAUCGUCGUUGCUACUUUAUGUCUGCUGAUAUCACUUCUUUUGAAUCUCGACGUUACUAUAUAUCUUCUGAUCAUCCUGAUAUCUUUGAGAUUUUACCCAUUUCUCUAGUCUUACCCUCACCAUCCUUGGUUCCAGUCUUACCUGCACCAUCCUUGGUCCUACUCGUAUCUCCAAACUUACCCGAACCAACCUUUGAGGAAUCAACGGUUACUUCUACGUCUCCAGCUGCAGUGCCACCACUUCUGACUUAUCAUCGUCGUCCGCAUCCACCAUUAGUCCCAGAUGAUUCAUGUCAUGCGUUGGACGCUGUUCCUACUGCAAACUUGCCUUCUCCUAGCCAAUCAGUUGCACUUAAAAAAGGUAUGCGUUCCACCCGUAAUGCUAACCCACAUUAUACUUUUUUGAGUUAUCAUCGUUUAUCAUCACCCCAUUAUGCUUUUGUGUAUCCUCUUUGUCCUCUAUUUCCAUCCUCAAGACUAUAGGUGAAGCACUUUCUCAUUCAGGAUGGAAGCAGGCUAUGUUAGAUGAGAUGUCUGCUUUACAUACAAGUGGUACAUGGGAGCUUGUUUCCCUUCCUUCAGGUAAAUCUAUUGUUAUGCAGUCAAAGUUGGUCUAGACGGUCAGGUUGAUCAGGUUGAUCGGCUUAAGGCUUGCCUUGUUGCCAAAGGAUACACACAAAUAUUUGGGCUUGAUUACAAUGACACUUUCUCUCCAGUGGCUAAAAUAGCAUCUGUUCCUCUUUUCCUAUCCAUUGCUGCCGUUCGCCAUUGGCAUCUUUAUCAGUUGGAUAUUAAGAAUGCUUUUCUGCAUGGUGAUCUUGAGGAAGAAGUCUAUGUGGAGCAACCACCUGGUUUUGUUGCUAGGGGGAGUCUAGUAGCCUUGUAUGUCGAUUGCGCAAGUCACUCUAUGGUCUGAAACAGUCUCCUCGAGCUUGGUUUGGAAAAUUCAACGCAGUAAUUCAGCAGUUUGGCAUGAUCCGUAGUGGAGCUGAUCACUUAGUGUUUUUCGACAUUCUCAACCAAAUGUGGUUUAUGUUGAUGAUAUCGUUAUCACCGGCAAUGAUGAAGAUGGUAUCACUAAAUUGAAGCAACAUCUCUUUCAACAUUUUCAGACCAAAGACCUCGGUAGGCUGAAGUAUUUUCUAGGUAUUGAGGUUGCUCAAUCCAGAUCAGGUAUUGUUAUUUCUCAACGCAAGUAUGCGUUAGACAUUCUCGAGGAGACAAGAAUGAUGGGCUGUAGACCCAUUGACACUCCUAUGGAUCCAAAUGCUAAACUUUUACCAGGACAGAGGAGCCACUCAGUGAGCCUGAAAGGUAUAGGCGGUUGGUUGGAAAGUUGACUUAUCUCACCGUGACAGGACCUGACAUAUCCUUUCACCGUGACAAGACCUGACAUAUCCUUUCCCGUGAGUGUUGUAAGUCAGUUUAUGACUUCCCCCAUGAUAGUCACUGGGAUGCAGUUCUUGGUUUUCUGCGAUAUAUAAAGUCGGCUCCCGUUAAAGGACUAAACUUUGAGGAUCGAGGUCACGAGCAUAUCAUUGGAUACACAGAUGCUGAUUGGGCAGGAUCACCCUCUGAUAGAUGUUCUACCUUCGGAUAUUGUGUUUUAGUAGGAGGUAAUUUGGUGUCUUGGAAGGGUAAGAAACAAAGUGUGGUUGCUCGAUCUAGUGCGGAAGCAGAAUAUCGAGCAAUGACUGUAGCAACUUGUGAGCUAGUUUGGAUUAAGCAGUUGCUAAGAGAAUUAGUAUUUGGAGAAACCGGCAAGAUGGAACUUGUAUGUGAUAAUCAAGCUGCCCUUCAUAUCGCUUCAAAUCCAAUGUUUCACACAUAGAGAUUGAUUGUCAGUUUGUCGGAGAAAAGAUACUCUCAGGAGAUAUUGUUACAAAAUUUGUGAAGUCAAGUGAUCAACUUGCAGAUAUCUUCACCAAGCUCCUCAUCGGUCCUCGUAUUAAUUACAUUUGUAACAAGCUAGGUACUUCUGAUUUGUAUGCACCAGCUUGAGGGGGAGUGUUAGAAUAUGAGUAGAAAUAAGAAUAGUAUAUAGAAAUCCUACUUGGAAAAGGAUUGUAAUAUAGUGUCUAUAAAUAGGAUCUCAUGUAAUUAUGUAAACACACAAUUCAAUAAUAUUUUUCUCCAUUAAUUCUCCAUUAUUUUGGGUUCAUAAGACGCCAAUGACUUGGGAUCUUUUGUAUAUUGUUCCUUAUUUGAUUGUUGUAUAAUGUUUCUAUCAUGAUUAAGAAUUCGAGGAAGGGUUGUCAUAAUUAUUUAUUGAGACGAAGAGAAACUGGAAUUUUAUUUACUGACGAUGUAUGGUCUAACUUACUGCUUCUUUUCUCGUCAUGUUAUAUGCUCUGUACCAACUUCAUCCAGUCUAAGUUUUGCUUGUAUGGUUUUAUGCUUACUUUAGUUUCUUUGGCAUUAUAAGUUCUUCACUGUGCUUCUAGAAGACCAGAAGCAUGUUCCAGUUGCAGCUCUUGUACUCAUUGUCCCCAAUGCUGUGUUUUGUAUUAUGUAGUUCUGAAGUUUUUGCAGUGAAUGUUAUUUGACUUGUUUUUUUUUCAGGUUUUUGGAGCACUACGAAUGUCUGUCAAAAUGUUUCUGAUGUGGAAUUCAAAAAUGGUAAUUGAUGGUGGUGGAGAUCAAAAUGUUGAGACAACAAUGGUCGAAGCUAGUAACCUAAUUGUUCUUAAGGUGCUCUUUCUUUUUCGUUUGCUGUUUUUCUUGGUUGUCUUCACAAUUGUUCAUUUGAGAUGUCUUCUAAAUGCCAUCUAAUGCAGGAGUCAUCUCAAAUUCGUUCGAAUGCAAAUCUUGGAGUGCAUGGCCAAGGGUUGCUGAAUUUAUCUGGACCAGGAGAUGCGAUUGAAGCUCAAAGACUAGUACUGUCUUUGUUUUACAGCGUCAAUGUGAGCAGAAAUCUUGUUCUGUAUCCUACUGUUUCUGUUCUUUGUAGAUGAUGUGCAAUAGAUUUCUAACUGGUUCUACACUUGCUUUCUCUCGACACACUUGAUUUUUCUUCCUCAUUUGAUCUUUUAUGUGUUUUAGUAUCAGUAUAUGGAUUUUUACAUCGCGGUUAGUAUUUUCCUAUUCCUCGCCACCUUUCUGUGAAUAUCAGAUGCAUGAUAAUGUAUGCCAUGGUCUUCACGUACACAUCUGCAUAUCUGCUGUUAGUGUUCCACUUUUCUCACUCGCAAGGUCGUAACUAAGCAUCUUCUUUCCUCAGUUUUUCACCUGGUCUAUGUUCUGACUCAGCUCCUUAGACCUGAGGAGUUUGGUAUUCCAGUUCUGGAACCUCAUGUGUCGGUUGAGUUGAUCAUUUUUUUCUAUGUAUUAUACUACUUUUUAAUUUUCUUGCCCUAUUUUCUCUUGUCACAUGCAGAUUGGGCCUGGAUCCGUUUUGCGUGGUCCUUCACGAAACGCCACAGCGGAUGCUGUGUGAGUUCCUAAUUACUCCUUGUUCCUCCCCCCCUACUGUCUCUUACCCUAGAUGCUUCUUUGAUUUGCUAAUGGGAUAUUUGGUGCUUGGUAGGAAACCAAAGUUGAACUGUGAUAGUCCAGGUUGUUCUUUUGAAUUGCUCCACCCUCCUGAAGACUGCAAUGUGAACUCUUCACUGUCCUUUACUUUACAGGUGUGCGGUUAUCGACCCACUACCAAAAUAGAAGUCUUUAUAUAAUAUGUGCCUAGAUUGUACACUACACUUGUGCAACUCUAAUACUUCUUUUAUCUGCAGAUCUGUCGAGUUGAGGAUAUUCUUGUUGAAGGCCUCAUAGAAGGAUCUGUUGUUCAUUUCCACAGAGCAAGGACUAUAGAUGUGCAACCUUAUGGAAUUAUUAGCACAUCGGGAAUGGGUCUGAUCUUAAUUUCCUUCAGUUUAUAUUUGAUGUGAUUGUCUUAGUUUUUUUCUUUUUUGUCAACCCCUUGUUUUUAGUAUCUAUAGGCUUUUGUUCGGCAGGGUUUAGUCAUUGCUCGGAUGGAAUGUUGCGCACGUUCAUCUUUAGGAUAUUAAAAAUGUCUGAUAAGCUUGAGAAAAACUAGUGAUAUAUACUAUUCAAUGCUUUUAGAGUUCAAAUUUCUUUGUUAAUAAAAGAUUUUACCUUAAAUAAAGAACCGCAAAAUUUAGAUGCAAAUUUCAAUAAUCCAUCAAACAAAUCAAACUACAACAAUUUACUUAAUCUAUUUCUAAUUGAAUCAUAUAUAACCUCAUUGUUCACCUAUUCCAUUUUGUUGUCUCCAUAGGUUGCACUGGGGGAGUAGGCCAAGGAAAGGUUCUGAGCAAUGGUCUUGGUAGCGGUGCUGGUCAUGGCGGUGAAGGCGGAUAUGGAUAUUAUAAUGGGAGCUGCAUUGGGGGUGGCAUGACAUAUGGAGAUCCCAGUUUGCCAUGUGAACUCGGCAGUGGAAGUGGGACUACUAGCCUAGCUGGAUCAACUUCUGGUGGUGGUGUUCUGGGUAAGUUUGAGGUUGUCCCAACUUCAACUUUCUUCCCUGUGGUAGCUUUAUCAUAAUUAAAACACCUGAUAUUCUGUAUAUGAGAAGUGACAAACCUGCAGGCGGAUGAUAAAUUAUACUCCCUCUGUGUGUGGCACGCUUGCCUUUUUGGUCCGUCCCCCCAAAAAUGUCACCUUUAUUUGGCAACUAUUUAAUGGCAUCCUCCCCAUUUUAUCCUUAUUGGGUCCCAUUUAACAAGAUUAGUCAACUAAUAAAGAGUAGCUUAACAAAGUCUUCUCCUAUUUCUUAAACUCCGUGCCCAGUGAAAUGAUGCCACAUAAAUUGGGACAGUGGGUGUAUUUGGUAAUGAAACAAAUUGCAUAAACAUCUAUUGCUUUACUGAUUUUGUAUUGUAAGUGUGAAAUUCUUCAUAUGACUUGAAGUCUCCUCCAUAUGUGUAGUAGUAUCAUUAUCAUGGCAUGCCGUGGACCUAGGUGCAAAAUGGCAAUGUAUGCUUUGUAAUGCAGAAAUUUAAUGCUAAGCUGCAACAGUUUUAAAUGCCAUUUCUUUUGGUCGCAUCUAUAGAAAGAGCCUUCUUUUUUUUUUUAAAUGAUAACAUAUCUAUAGCGAGAGCGUUCCAUUCUAUUGAGGUCAGACCAACUCUGCAUUCAUUCUUUUUUGAUCCCCAAAACAGAUUUUAUUGGACGAAUUGAUCACCUCAAUUACUUAAAUUUCGAAGGGAAGAUAUCUCAUUCGAAUUCCCCCUGUAUGAGUGGUAUAAAUAGGUAGAGUAUCUGCCAAAAUAUAUGGUUAAAUUUUGAAGGGAAAAUGUCUCAUUCAACUUUCCCCUCCAUGAGUGGUACACAUAGGUGGAAAGCUUUCCAAAUUUAUGGUUCUUUCCAAAUACUAUGCAAUUAUAUAUGUACUAGUACAUGCCUCACUAGUGCACCAAAACUUAACCAGUACAAAACCAUUUUCCACACUUCCCAAGCUUCCCCUUUUCUUCUAAGUAUCUGCAUAUUAGACAAAGGUUGUUUUGUCACAUGCUCCUACAUGUCUACUCCUUUAUCAGAAAACCCAGCUUAAUGUAACAUCCUUUACUGUAGUGUGUAAUGUUCGAUGUUUUAAGACACAGUAGUGUCCACCAUAAUUGAUGAGCAACCAAAACUGUUGUAACAAUUGGUCCACUUCUCUCAAGCAGUUCUAUGUGUAUGUUGUGACACUACUAGUUACUCCUUUUUCUAAUUGAGUAAUAGUUACAGAUGAUUUCUGUGGUUGGCCAAACUAGUUUGGGGUUGGGGCAUAGUUGAGUGUUCCUUGAUUAACGAUUAUUGGUUUUUUAAAGAUGGUGUAGCAAAAAAGGGUUGGAAAAUGUUUCUCAAUUUUUUUUUUAAAUCAUGCAUAGGUGGACUUUAAUUAGCCAACUUACAAUAAAAAAUCUGCAUAAAUCAAAAUUCAAAAACCUAAACAAAAUUCAAAAACCUAAAAUAUCUCAAAAAACUAAAACAACCUACUAAAAACUUAAAAUUCAAAUCAUCCUAAACCUUGCAACUUAAUAUGCUAAAAAAUUACUGAACUAACGUGAAUUUCAACAAAGAUCUCGGGUCUUCGUGUUUUCCAUAUUUGGCUAUAAUUGUAUCCAAAUCUAAUGCUACUACUUUCGUUGAGCUCCUCUUUUUCUUCACUUCUCCCAAUUAAGGUCCAAAUACCUUUUCUUUAAAAAAAUCAAAAAGUUACAUUAAUAAGUGCACCAAGUCGGUGUCAAAAAGUAAGUACAAAUUGUGCGUGUGACUCUGCUGGAGACAAUUGUCUUCCACCAAGUUUUCCCAACGUAUGAUAAAAAAGUAUCUUCUCCUUACACCAGAAGUACAAGUGAAAUGGAAAUCCUCUUUCCCGUCAAAGGCAGAGCCAACCCUCUUUAAAAUAUACUAUUUAUACAUGAUUAAAAUUAUUUUUUAUGUAGUUAUAGUAGGUGUUGAACCCCCAUCGACUGAGUUUUCUUUGAAUAUUGAACCCCCUUACUUGAAAUUCUGGCUCCGCCUCUGUUUCCUGUGAGCUCCCUCACUGGCUUUCUUUCCUCCUAAAUGGGAAGGAAAUCUUUCUUUAUUUCUGGGGACAAAUCGUUCGAAGUGUGUGAAGAAAGCGAUGGCUGGUUUGUUUGGGUUGAGUGUGGACGGAGGGUUUGCAACCAGAUUAAGUUUGAUGAGAACUUAAGAUGGGUUUGCGAGCAAAUGCAACAGGCGUCGUGUGGGUACGGGAAUCUUUACAGGAGGUGGGGAAGGAAGAUUCAAAAUUAUCGUUACAGUGUGUACCAAUAUUUUAAUAGCUAUGAAAGAUACAUAAGAAUCGAAACAAGGAAAGGGGAAGGGAAAUCAAUAAUAAUAAUACCAGAAGCAGGUUACAACAAGGGUUGGGGAGACAUAACAGGGAAGAUACUACAUUCUCUGGGAGAAGCACCCACUUACAAGUACAGGAAAUUCACAAAUCUGCAAAAUAAAUCUUUUCUCAAUGCUGCUGAAAUUACUGAUUGGCCUAAUCUUCAGGGAGGAAAAACUGAAAGUCACCAACGAAACCACUGGUGAAAACUUCCUCUUUCUCCCAGAAUGCUUAGUCGGAUGCUUCAAUGACCCUUUCCACCGGAGCCUCAAUACUGAAAUUAUUCAAAAGUGGUUUACUUCCAGAUGGCAGGUGACAGCUGGUUUGAGGAUAACUUCCAUGGCACACAAUAAAUUUCUGUUCGAGUUUCCUUCGAAACAAGAGGCUGCUAGGGUGAAAGCAGGUGAUUGGUUUUGGAAUGGUCGACAUCUUCAAUUAGAAUGGUGGUCGCCGGAAUUCGGGACCUCUCCGGUGGGGCACGGAGCAGACCAUAGAUGGCUUAAAGUGUUUGGUAUUCCUCUUCACAGAUGGAAAAUGAACACUUUUCGCUAUAUCGAAGACCUAUGUGGUGGAUUUAUUGGCAUAGAUGAAGAUACAAAGAGUAGAGUGCAUUUAUUUUGGGCUCGAAUAUGCGUGAAAGCCUCUGCCACUGAAACCCCCAAAACCCCCAGUGAAGCCGUUCUAGUGCUGGGUGAUUUGAGAUUUGGAAUCUCUAUCUUGGAGGACAAAUUAGUGGAUCUAAAGGUCGCCAGGGAUGGAGCAACAGUUGCUACCGUGACGGAGCGAGAUACGGGAUUGGAUAAGGCAUCCUCGAGCCAAGCGAAGGAUCUGUAGCAAUACCUACUGGUCUAUAGCAAAGAAUACAGGGGUUCAGAGAACUUUAACUCAAAUAAAUUUCCGGUGGACCCCAAUCUUAAAACAAAGCAGUUGUCUCAAAACCCUAAUCCCAGAUAUAACAAAGUGGCGGCUAAACAAUUGGGCCAAAAACUAGACAACUCAUAUAUUAUUCAAAAGGACCAAGGCCCAAAACAUCUUCCAGGAGAAAAUUUGAGAAAUAGUUGGCAAAAAGGGGGAAACUACAGAAAUAGCCUCAAAAUAAGGUGACUUUCAAAUUUUGACCUCAAAUAAAAAAAGCUUCAUAAAAAUAGCCUUUAACUAUUAAGUGAUAUAUUUUCAGACAAAAUUGCCCCUGACUAAUGGAGUAAAUUCCAUAGAUGAUCCUCAUAAUGGAUAACAACUUCAUACAUUCAUCUUUCAACUUUUAUUUUUUUCUCUUUUUAAUUUUACUUUGAUUUUUAUUUUUUCUUUUCUCUUUUUAUUUUUGUAUUUUCUCAACCCUUACCUUUUUCCUUUUUUCCACUCAACUCCUUUUUUUUUCUUUUUUAUUUUACUUUGAUUUUUUAUUUUUUCUUUCCUUUUUUUUUUUUGUUCCUUUUUAGUUUUUUUUCAACCCUUACUUUUUUUAUUUACUCCUCUCAACGUCUACUUUUAUAAAAAAGGCUUUUUUUUAUUUUUCUUUGAUUUUUAUUUUUUCUUUUCUUUUUUUUCUUCUUAAGUUUUUCUCGGCCUUUAUUUUUAUUUUAUCUUUUUUUUUUCUUCUUUUUAUCAACCUUUAUUUUAUUUUCCAUUCUCUCUCAAGUUCUACAUUUUCUUUGAUUUUUUAUUUUUUAAUAUCUUUCUUUAUUUUUUUUUAGUAAUUUUUAUUAUUUUUUUUUCUUUUCUUCGAUUUCUUCCAAUCAAGUUAUAUUUCAUGAGCAAGAGUUGACACUAUCUCAUUAUAAAGGCAAGACUUAUGACUUUCAAACAACAAGCUACGUUUCAUGGGCAAGAAUUUACACUGUCAUAUUGUAGAGGCAAGACUUAUGACUUUCAAAUAACAAGUUAUGUUUCUUGGGCAAAAGUUGACACUACCACAUUGUGUUUUGAUUUAUAAGAUGUUCUAUAACUCUUAUCUUAGAGGCAAGACUUAGCUCAAGGAUUUUUAAUAAACAACAAAUUAUGCCCCACAGACAAGAGUUGACUCAACUAUGUUAUGUUUUCAUUUAUGUGAUGUUCUACAACUAUUACCUUAGAGGCAAGACUUAGCUCAAGGACUUUCAAACUACAAAUUAUGCCCCACAGGCAAGAGUUGACACUACCACGUUGUGUCUUUCUUUAUGAGAUGUUCUACAACUCUUGCCUUAGAGGCAAGACUUAGCUCAAAAACUUUUAAACUAUGACACUACCAUGCUAUUUCUUCAUUUAUGAGGUUCUACAACUCUUGCCUUAGAGGCAAGACUUAGCUCAAGGACUUUCAAACUACAAAUUAUGCUCCACCGGUAAGAGUUUACACUAUCACGUUAUGUAUUUAUUUAGGAGAUGUUCACAACUCUCGCCUUAGAGACACGACUUAUCCCAAGAAUUUUCAAACAAGUUACGUAUAUUGGGCAAGAGUCAACACUAACACAUUGUGUUUUUUACUCAUGAAAUUCUCUUUUAACUCUUGUGUUAGAGGCAAGAUUCAGCCUAAGGAUCAUCAAACAAGAAGUUAUGCCCCUUGGGCAAGAGUUAACACCGCCACGUUUUGUAUUAAUUUAUGAGAUGUUUUAUAACUUUUCCCUUAGAAACAAGACUUAGACCAAGAACUUUCAAGUAACAAGUUGUACCCCAUGGGCAAGAGUUGAUAUUAUCACAUUGUGUUUUGAUUUAUGAGAUAUUUUAUAACUCUUGGCUUAGAGACAAGACUUAACCCAAAGACUUUCAAAUAACAAGUUACACUCCAUGGGUAAGAAUUAACACCACCACAUUAUGCUUUGAUUUAUGAGAUGUUCUAUAACUCUUGCUUUAGAGGCAAGACUUAGUCCACGGACUUUUAAACAAAAAGUUACGCUUCACAGAUAAGAUUUGACGCUACCACAUUGUGUCAUAAUUUAUGAGAUGUUUUAUAAAUCAAGGACUUUUAAACAGCAAGUUAUGCCCCAUGGGUAAGAGUUGACGCUACCACAUUAUUUUUUGAUUUAUGAGAUGUUUUAUAACUCUUGCCUUAGAAGCAUGACUUAAGGAUUUUCAAACAAGUUAUGCUCCACAAACAAGACUUGACACUAUCACAUUAUGCCUUGAUUUAUGAGUUGUUCUAUAAUUUUUGCCUUGGAGGCAACACUUAUCCCAAAGAACUUCUUAACAACAAUUCAUGUCCUUAAAUUUGCAUUGAUGACAAAAAAAAGAUCCCUUUGCAGAUUAUCCAAUUUUUUAUUUAUUAGCAAAAUAUAAUAGAAAUUGAGAAAAAAGAAACAAGAGAUUAAAAAAAAUAGAAAAAUAAAAAAAAAAGAUUAAGAAAAAAGAGAAGAAUUAAAAAAAUUGAGAAAAACAAAAAUGAGAGGAAAAAAAUAAAAAUAAAGUUUAAGAAAAAUGAGGAAAAAAGGAGAUGAUAAAAACAAAAAAUAAAAGAAAAAUAAAUGUUGAGACAAAUGAAUUAAAAAAAGAAAAAAAAAUGAAGAAAUAAAUAAUGUUUAAGAAAAAAGAAAAAAGAGAAAAAAAUAAAUGUUGAGAUAAAUGAAUUAAAACAUGGAAAUAAAAUUAAAGGAAGAAUCAAAAAGUGAAAAUAAUAAAAAUAAAAAUAGAAUUUUAGAGACAAAUGAAUAUGGAAAAUUUAAAAAUAUUUGAGGUGUAGAGGGGUAAAAAAUUGUACUUGUACUGUACUUAAAAAGAAAAGGCUAGUCUUUAAAGACUUUUUUUAUUAAGGUCAAAAAUCCAAAGUCACCCACUAUUGGGGCUAUACCAUGUAAUUUCUCGGGCAAAAAGACCUUUUUUUGACCCAUGUUCUCAUAAAAGAAGUCCGUUAAGACUUGAGAAUUAUUUUGACCCACUCACUGAAGAAAUAAAGAACGCAAAAGAUGGGAAAAUUAAGAUGACACCUUCAAGGGUGGCAAGCGACUUAUCAUUUCAACUUGAUAAUGAAGCAGAUUACGAAACAGAGCCGAUGGCCAUGAUAAUUCUAAGACCUAUGCAGCCAAGCGAUUUUGUAACAGUAAACAGUUUCGAUGCUGAAUAUUCCUCCAGUGAUAAUCUUCUCCUUCCUUAAUUUGAAGCUUGGACAUUCUUCUACUCAAGUCACUCGCUCCCCUUCCCCUCUUGUAGUUGAUACUUCAAGAUGGACUAAAACUGUGAUGUACAAGGCAUGCAAAGCCUUUGGGAUUAAUACAGUGGGGUUUGAACAUGAAAUUCUCGAUAUGGUCCUACGAAUGGAGCGAAAGAGGCAAUCACAAAUUGAGCAGCGAAAAGCAUCCUCCAACACCAGAAACAAGGGGACAAAGAAACAGUCUUUAGAGCUUGAGAGGUUGAGUUGGGGUAUGAAUUUAGAGGGUAGAAAGUCAAGUGAUCGGGACAAGACCUACAAAGCCUUCUUUGAAUGAAGAUUAAAAUAUUAAGUUGGAAUGUGCGGGGGCUGAAUAAGGCCGAUAAGUGAACUACAAUCAAAUCUCUCAUCCAUAAAUGGAAAACAGAUAUAGUAUGUUGAUAAGAAACAAAAGUGGCAGAAUGGACUCCUUUUCAUAUUAGACAAGUCUAGGGGAACCACUGGGUAGAAUGGGCGGAGCUAAAGCCAAAUGGAAGAAGUGGCGGCAUUAUUGUACUAUGGGACAAAAGAUUCUGGUCUAAAUUGAUGUGCAACUUGGGGCAUAUACCAUUUCUUGUAUGUUGGAAAGCUCUCACGACCUCUUCAGGUGGUGUGAAGUGCUUCACAGGGGUUCAUGGACCCACUCAAACCCUAAGAGGGAAGAACUAUGGCAUGAAUUGGCAGCUAUCAGAGGUCUUUGGGAUGAACAGUUGGUGAUAGGAGGUGAUUUCAAUGUUUGUAUGUAUGAAAGUGAAAGAUACAACUGCGAUCAAGGGCCAUGAAAUCUUUCACAGACACCAUUCAAGACCUGGGCAUCAUUGAUCUACCAUUACAGAGGGCUCAUUAUACAUGGUUCAGAGGGGGGUGACUCAAUGCAAGCUUCUAGAAUCGACAGAUUCCUAAUCUCUUCAGAAAGGGAUGCAAACUUCAAUGCUAUCAAGCAGUUAGCUCUGCCAAGUGAUACGGGACAGCCACCAACACUCGAUAACAAGAUGGAAACACACGAUAACAAGAUGGAAACUAAGCUAUGGUAGCAACACCAAACCGAGAACAUAAGAAACAAACACAACAAAUGCGAUAAAGUAAGACAGAUAGUGAGACAUACACUAUUACAAGAAGUAGGAACUAAAGGAUGUAUCAAAUCCUAGAACCCGUAAGACUUACAAUAGUAACACCACACUCUUACGUAGACACAAGAGGGAAUCCACCCCUCAAGCACCGACGUUUCUCGCCAAAAUGCAAUACUAGUGAUUCCAUACUAAGUGCUACCCUAGUUACGGUUUUCACUCUCUCAAGAGAUGAGUUCUUUCAAUCAUUCAUCUUUCAAAAAACUAAGUGAAAUAAACCUAAUAAGUGUUUAUUUAUGGGCUAUUACAUAAAGGGAAGAAAAAAACAAGAUGCCCUUAAUGAAAGAGGGGAGGCCAUGGUGUGUUAAAACAUCAUGUGCAAUCUCUUAAAUGCCCUUCAAGAAGGGGGCAGCCAUUGAGUGUUUGGACUAGAUGAAUGGGACGCCUCUUCAAAGCACUCCAAAGCCGUGGUUCUUCAAG
rnacentral:lncRNA from 1 species